GUUUUCUUACGAUAAUAUUAGAGUACAAAACCAUAAAUGCAAGGUUCAUGAGUUUAGAAAAAUAAAAAUAAAAUCAUUGUUCUAGUAAAAUAGAAAAAAUGACACCUCUUGUAAUAUUCGAACAUAACAUAUAAUGCACAUUUUUUCGAUAACAUAAUAACUCAUUCUCCUCUAUAGGGAGUUUUUGCAUUCUCCUUUAUUUGGUAUUCUGAGAAUCAGUGACGCUUUGCAGCCCAUUCACAUUUUUUAUUAAUGCAUCUCAAAAAAAAAUUCUUGUCUGUAGACCGUGGACAAUCCGCAUCCGUUUCACAUCCAAAAUGCGCUGUAACGAAUAAAUAUAGUAAAAUAGUGUUACUAAAAGAUGAUAAAAGAAAGUUGUGUAUGAACUACAAAGCAAAGAAGGAAAUUUGAAAUGGAUGAAAACAUGGCUUACAACCACCAACUUCUGAUGCGAUAAGAAAGAAGGAAAGAAAAAGAAUCAUAGCGUAAACAAACUUCAGAGUUUUCUUUUUGGUUACAACGAACUUCAGAGUUUCAGUCAUAGUUUU
rnacentral:lncRNA from 1 species